UACGUAGGGGGCGAGCGUUGUCCGGAUUUAUUGGGCGUAAAGAGCGUGUAGGCGGUUCGGUAAGUCUGUCGUGAAAUCCUGAGGCUCAACCUUGGACGUGCGAUGGAUAUUGCCGGGCUAGAGGAUGGUAGAGGCGAGUGGAAUUCUCGGUGUAGCGGUGAAAUGCGCAGAUAUCGGGAGGAACACCAGUAGCGAAGGCGGCUCGCUGGGCCAUUCCUGACGCUGAGACGCGAAAGCUAGGGGAGCGAACAGG
rnacentral:rRNA from 1 species